rnacentral:rRNA from 1 species
GACAGAGGAUGCAAGCGUUAUCCGGAAUGAUUGGGCGUAAAGAGCUCGUAGGCGGCUUGUCACGUCGAUUGUGAAAGCCCGAGGCUUAACCUCGGGUCUGCAGUCGAUACGGGCUAGCUAGAGUGUGGUAGGGGAGAUCGGAAUUCCUGGUGUAGCGGUGAAAUGCGCAGAUAUCAGGAGGAACACCGGUGGCGAAGGCGGAUCUCUGGGCCAUUACUGACGCUGAGGAGCGAAAGCGUGGGGAGCGAACAGG